UUUAUUAUUCACAGAUUCACUUUAUUAUUUUUGUAUUUGUUUCUUUAGAUGAAAAGGAAACUUUUUCAGCCCGGCACUCAUUGAUAUUAAAUAAUGUUACAAAAAUGUCCAGGCUACCAUGUUAGCAGACAACGAUAGCAGACAAUUUUACAUAUUGUUAUAGAGAAGUGUAGUCAACAUGGAAGCCAACAAAACUGAACAAAAUUCAGAUACAUAUUUUAAGCGAAGCCGGGAGACCAAUGAAGGAUGAUAGUUUACUGUAAGUCAAUGGCAAUAACAAUCCGGAUGUGAGAUAUGUGAAAAAACCAUUAGACGUCAUCCUAAAAAG